AGCAAAUAUCACCUUGACAGCUACUGGAUUUCCCAGAACCACUGAGAUUCUCUCUAAGGCUAAGCCAGGACUAGACAGGAAGACCCUCAACUUGAACCUGGGUAUCUUCACAGGGUGCCCUUCUGAGGGCCCUUCUCUCACCCCUACACUCUUGGCUCAGAUCCUGUGGCCCAUAACCUAGAGAGAUCCUUCAGAUGGGAGCUGUCAGACAUAUCCACUAUUGCCAACAAAAUCCUGACAACUGGACUUUCCUAGGGGUCCAGUGGCUAAGAAUCCUCCUGCCAGCCAGCUGAGAAGCCCAAAAUGGAGACAGGGAUCAAGACCAUGCCCAUGGAAAAGAAAUGCAAAAAAGCAAAAUGGUUGUCUGGGGAGGCCUUACAAAUAGCUGUGAAAAGGAGAGAGGCAAAAAGCAAAGGAGAAAAGGAAAGAUAUAAGCAUCUGAAUGUAGAGUUCCAAAGAAUAGCAAGAAGAGAUAAGAAAGCCUUCUUCAGUGAUCAAUGCAAAGAAAUCGAGGAAAACAACAGAAUGGGAAAGACUAGAGAUCUCUUCAAGAAAAUUAGAGAUACCAAGGGAACAUUUCAUGCAAAGAUGGGCUCGAUAAAGGACAGAAAUGGUCUGGACCUAACAGAAGAAGAAGAUAUUAAAAAGAGGUGGCAAGAAUACAUGGAAGAAAUGUACAAAAAAGAUCUUCACAACCCAGAUUAUCAUCAUGAUGUGAUCACUCAUCUAGAGCCAGACAUCCUGGAAUGUGAAGUCAAGUGGGCCUUAGAAAGCAUCACUAUGAACAAAGCUAGUGGAGGUGAUGGCAUUCCAGUUGAGCUAUUUCAAAUCCUGAAAGAUGAUGCUGUGAAAGUGCUGCACUCAAUAUGUCAGCAAAUUUGGAAAACUCAGCAGUGGCCGCAGGACUGGAAAAGGUCAGUUUUCAUUCCAAUCCCGAAGAAAGGCAACGCCAAAGAAUGCUCAAACUACCGCACAAUUGCACUCAUCUCACAUGCUAGUAAAGUAAUGCUCAAAAUUCUCCAAGCCAGGCUUCAACAAUACGUGAGCUGUGAACUUCCAGAUGUUCAAGCUGGUUUUAGAAAAGGCAGAGGAACCAGAGAUCAAAUUACCAACAUCCACUGGAUCAUGGACAAAG
ensembl:lncRNA